UACGUAGGGUGCAAGCGUUAAUCGGAAUUACUGGGCGUAAAGCGUGCGCAGGCGGUUCGUUGUGUCGGUGGUGAAAUCCCCGGGCUUAACCUGGGAAUGGCAAUGGAAACUGGCGGGCUGGAGUAUGGCAGAGGGGGGUGGAAUUCCGCGUGUAGCAGUGAAAUGCGUAGAGAUGCGGAGGAACACCGAUGGCGAAGGCAGCCCCCUGGGCCAAUACUGACGCUCAGGCACGAAAGCGUGGGGAGCAAACAGG
rnacentral:rRNA from 1 species